GCCACUGUGGAUCAUUGGUAGAUCGUGCUCCAAUCUUAAACUAUGAGUUCCAGAUCUGAGCAAAAUGUGGGUUCGAGUCCUACCAGUGGCA